GGGGUGAUGUUGUGAAGCAUUUAAUCCUUGGGGACUAUGUUGAGAACAAAGUUCCAAGUUUGAGUCAUUUUAUUAGUAAAGAAAUCAAAAAGCAAGACUAUGGUAUAGCAUCCUUGGCAGCCCUCUCAAGUGCCAUGCGUUUGCUUCAAAGGUAUGAAUUCAAGAAAAACCAUGGUGAAUGGGUUACUACUGUCAAACCUGAUUUGGGUCCAGGAAUAUCAGAACGAGUGUGGGGAGCUAUUCAAACAACAGGAGAAAGCAUUGAUAUUUGUUACUCUGUGAAGGCAGAAAUAAUUGCCACCCUUACAAGUCUUCUUGAGGAUUUUGGUAUCCUGGCUAUCCCUACAGUACCAGGACGUCCACCAAAACUAAACACAGAUCCAACUACACUGGAAAUUUUUCGUGCCGAGGCUUCUAGCUUGCUCUCCAUUGCUGGAUUAUCAGGAUUCGCAUACCGCUAGGCAUGUACAAUGAUGUACCUGUAGCUAUUUCAUUAUUGGCGAAACAUGGUUCAGAUGGCUUCCUGCUCAAUGUUGUUGAAACUCUUUAUGACACUCUCCAAGAACAGAUUGCAAUUUCAGAAUGAUAGCUUGCUGAAUCCA
rnacentral:misc_RNA from 1 species